rnacentral:rRNA from 1 species
UACGUAGGGCGCAAGCGUUGUCCGGAAUUAUUGGGCGUAAAGAGCUCGUAGGCGGCUUGUCACGUCGGGUGUGAAAGCCCGGGGCUUAACCCCGGGUCUGCAUUCGAUACGGGCUAGCUAGAGUGUGGUAGGGGAGAUCGGAAUUCCUGGUGUAGCGGUGAAAUGCGCAGAUAUCAGGAGGAACACCGGUGGCGAAGGCGGAUCUCUGGGCCAUUACUGGCGCUGAGGAGCGAAAGCGUGGGGAGCGAACAGG